AUACGGAGGGCGCAAGCGUUGUUCGGAAUCAUUGGGCGUAAAGCGCGCGUAGGCGGCUUGGCAAGUUGGGUGUGAAAUCCCGGGGCCCAACCCCGGAACUGCAUCCAAAACUGCCUCGCUAGAGUCCCGGAGAGGAUGGCGGAAUUCCCGGUGUAGAGGUGAAAUUCGUAGAUAUCGGGAGGAACACCAGUGGCGAAGGCGGCCAUCUGGACGGUGACUGACGCUGAGGUGCGAAAGCGUGGGGAGCAAACAGGAUUAGAAACCCCGGUAGUCC
rnacentral:rRNA from 1 species